rnacentral:rRNA from 1 species
AGACGAAGGUGGCAACCGUUGUUCGGAAUCACUGGGCAUAAAGAGCACGUAGGCGGACACGUAAGUCGGGUGUGAAAUCCCUCGGCCCAACCGAGGAACUGCGCCCGAAACUGUGUGCCUUGAGGACGGGAGGGGAGCGUGGAAUUCCUGGUGGAGCGGUGAAAUGCGUUGAUAUCAGGGGGAACACCGGCGGCGAAGGCGACGCUCUGGCCCGUUUCUGACGCUGAGGUGCGAAAGCUAGGGGAGCAAACGGGAUUAGAAACCCCGGUAGUCC